rnacentral:lncRNA from 1 species
UGCAUUCCAACAGAUCCCGGCAUCCACGUCUCAGUCCCCGGAUUGAUUCCAAGCUUCAUCUUCAGCCUUCCAUGCCCCAUUCUACUUCUUCCGAGCGUCCCAGCAUGCGACCCUCCUUCCCUUCCGCAUCCCAUAGCGAUCGCAAUCUUCCGAAAUCUCAGGUCCUCGCAUCCGCAUGUGAAUCUCCCGUGAUCAGCCAGCGUCUGCAUCCCAG